GGCCGCCAGAGGCAGGAUGGCGGCGGCGCCAGGCGGCGGUGCGGCGCGGCGGCUGCGCGCCCGCAGGUACUUCUGGAAAGAGCCUCAAAAAAGCUUCCAUCUGUAGAAAGCCCUACAAGAAAAACACAGAGCACUUUUUGGAAAUUUGUGAAGCCGAACGAUCAAAAUGGCAGAAAAUAAGGACAGUAAUAUUAAAAAUGCAGAUGUGAGACCCAAAAACAGCCGGAGCAGAAGUGCAGACAGAAAGGAUGGUUAUGUCUGGAGUGGAAAGAAGCUCUCCUGGUCAAAAAAGAGUGAGCACUGUUCUGAUGCUGAGGCAGCAAGCGCUGUAGGAAGAUCAGGGACUGGUUUAAAGAGUCAAGAGAGGAAGUACAGCUGCUCAUCUAUCGAACUGGAUCUCGAUCGUUCAUGUGGUCACAGGUUUUUAGGCCGUUCUCUCAAACAGAAGUUGCAAGAUGCUGUGGGCCAGUGCUUUCCUAUAAAGAACUGUAGCAGUCGACAUGCCUCAGGGCUUCCAUCGAAAAGGAAAAUUCAUAUCAGUGAAUUAAUGUUAGAUAAGUGUCCUUUCCCUCCACGCUCGGAGCUAGCUUUUCGGUGGCACUUAAUUAAAAGACAUACAGCCCCUAUAAAUCAAAGAGCAGAAGAGUGGAUAAUUGCUGAUUUAUCCCAGAAUGAGGAAAAGGAGGAUCAGCUGAGGGAUGAUGAGAUUGCCAGUGGAGGAACAGACUCUCUCUCCCAGUCCUGUGACCUGACUGACAGCAGUUCCUCCAGGGGGGAUUCCAGGUCUGAGUUGGUUACAAGUAAAGGAGGACGGAGCAGUAAAGAUGAGAGUGAUAUGGACUCUGACGAUGAAGUUAUAACACUAUGCACAAGUUCUAGAAAAAGAAACAAACCCAAAUGGGAAACUGAUGAUGAGCUGCUACGGAUGGAAACGCCUCCUAAAUACCAUACGCAGAUUGAUUAUGUCCACUGCCUAGUCCCGGACCUCCUUCAGAUCAAUAACAACCCCUGCUACUGGGGAGUCAUGGAUAAAUAUGCAGCUGAGGCACUGCUAGAAGGCAAGCCAGAGGGAACAUUUUUAUUGCGAGAUUCUGCCCAAGAAGACUAUUUGUUUUCUGUGAGCUUCAGGCGCUACAGUCGUUCUCUCCAUGCACGGAUAGAGCAAUGGAACCAUAACUUCAGCUUUGAUGCCCAUGAUCCUUGUGUCUUCCAUUCUCCCGACAUCACAGGACUCUUGGAGCACUAUAAAGAUCCAAGCUCCUGUAUGUUCUUUGAACCGCUUUUAUCCACUCCCUUAAACAGGACUUUUCCUUUUUCUCUUCAACAUAUAUGCAGAACAGUUAUUUGCAACUGUACAACUUAUGAUGGUAUUGAUGCACUUCCUAUUCCUCCAUCAGUGAAGCUGUAUCUGAAGGAGUAUCAUUAUAAAUCGAAAGUUAGAGUACUCAGGAUUGAUGUACCAGAGCAGCAAAGCUAGAAAAUAUUUUUACGAAAGAAUGAAAUUGACCCUAAGCAGAGGAGCAGUAUGUUCAGUCUUUCUUCCCUUUUUUUUUUUUUAAUGGCAGUUUGAUUUUUUUCUUCUCCUGCAGAUUAUUUACAACUCAGACUAGCCUCUGCCUAUGGCUUUUUUAUCUAAAUGUACUUUGAGUCUUUCCAACUCUCUUUUUAAGAAAUGAUAUUCAUUGUGGGCUUUUGGUACUGUUCCCAGACUAGGGUUUUACGGAAUUUCAGGGAGAUUUGGAUCCUUUUGAAAUGCCUUUGAAACUGAGACUGCCAAUCUUGCAGUUACAGAUAAAUUUAGCUUUAUGCAUGCAAGAAGAUCUUAUCAGAACUAGCAAUUACCUGUGUGCGUAAGGUUACAUACGUGUGCGCAGGCUGAGAGCCGGGGAGCCCAGCACAAUGAAGUCUUGCUCCUGGAGUGAAGACUAAGUGCUACAAUAGUACAAGCAAUAGUUCUUUCUGAAUAUUUUAUUCUCAACUUCUGGAGAAUCCAGUGGGUUUGUGAACAGCAAAUCCAUCCUGCAAGUUGGGUUUUUGUGAGUUACUGAGCAAGUUUUGCCAUGCAGCUCCACAGGGGAUGAGCUGUCUUGCCCUUGCCCACCUUUUUUUGUUCUCUUCAGCUCUCUGGCUCCUGAGCAGAGAACUGAUGUCACCGAUGUAAACAGAUUUUCAGGGACAUCUGCUUAGAGACCAGCCAGUUUGUUUUCACUGUGUUUUAAAUAGGUUUGAACCGAAGUCUCUAGGGAGAAAAUGCUAACACAUCAAUCUGUCACGUUGCAUGUGGAUGAAUACACUAUAGGACAAACUCUCAGCUGCAAUAAAUCAGCAUAGCUUUAUUGAUAUGCUUAUAACAGUUUAUCCCAGCUGAGAUUCUCCCUCCUUCACAUACAAAUGAUAAUUGUAUGGCUCAAGUUAGAGACAGUGUUCUUUUUUGUUUGUUUUUUGUUUUCCUUGUGGUGCUUCCAUUUAACUGACUUCUUGCAUAAAUUGGGUUUUGUCAAGAACAACUUCUUAUUAGUAAAUCCAUUUCUUCUCUAGCUACUGCUGCCAUUUUCCAAACACAAAGUGAAUGAAUAGCAGGUAUGAUCCUUACUGUAUAUUUCAUGCUGGGCCUGUCAUAGUGGAAUGGCAGCAUGUGGCUUUUGCUGUCACAAUACAAAAUAAUUGUAACUGGUUAAAAUCUGACUUUACAGAUGAAUUUUUCAGACAUUUGCAGUCUAGUUGAUUAAAACUCUUAAACCCUUAAUUAGGACAAGAAGCUCGUAAAUUUACAUAGGGCUUACCGUUGCUAUUUUUGUCCCAAGACUACAAAAACUAGAUUUCAGCCCAAAAAAGUCUUACCUAUUUAGAAACUUGCAGUGAAAGCCACCAUGCUUUCAAACCGAGCAAACAUCUUGUUCCUUCAGAAUGAAAGGCCAUUGAAGAACCUUCUUUUUGGUGCAGUUCCACAACGUGCUGUGAUUUCAGUGUCAUUCUGUAUGCAGCCUACAUUGUUUUGACAUCUGUGGGUGCAGCACUUACCCAAAAAAUGUCUUGAGCACUCCAAUUUUAGGAGACCUACAUAAUAUAGCAGUUGGAGGAAGAAGGUGCUAUACCUCUAAAAAUAGUACCUUUUUGUCUGUGGGCCAAUUAAUGGCAUUUGUUCAGAAAAAUCAUAUAUAGAAAAAGUUGAUGAACAGGAUUUUAUGAAAGUUCACCCUGUUUUUUUGCCUAGUUUAUUUGUCCAGAUCAUACUUGUAUCAUUUUUUUUAUAUAGUUCUU